rnacentral:misc_RNA from 1 species
GGGAAUCUGGUAUUCAUUGCAAAUGAUUGGCACACUGCACUCUUACCUGUUUACCUGAAGGCAUACUACCGUGACCAUGGCUUAAUGAAGUUUGCUCGAUGUCUUCUUGUGAUACACAACAUCGCACACCAGGGUCGGGGUCCUGUGCACGACUUCAAUUAUGUGGAUUUGCCAGGUCAUUACAUGGACCUUUUUAGGCUCUAUGAUCCAGCCGGAGGGGAACACUUCAAUAUCUUUGCUGC